rnacentral:rRNA from 1 species
GACGAACGCUGGCGGCGUGCUUAACACAUGCAAGUCGAACGGAAAGGCCCUGCUUGCAGGGUACUCGAGUGGCGAACGGGUGAGUAACACGUGGGUGAUCUGCCCUGCACUUCGGGAUAAGCUUGGGAAACUGGGUCUAAUACCGGAUAGGAGCCAUCUUUAGUGUGGUGGUUGGAAAGUUUUUUUGGUGUAGGAUGAGCUCGCGGCCUAUCAGCUUGUUGGUGGGGUAAUGGCCUACCAAGGCGGCGACGGGUAGCCGGCCUGAGAGGGUGUACGGCCACAUUGGGACUGAGAUACGGCCCAGACUCCUACGGGAGGCAGCAGUGGGGAAUAUUGCACAAUGGGCGCAAGCCUGAUGCAGCGACGCCGCGUGGGGGAUGAAGGCCUUCGGGUUGUAAACUCCUUUCGCUAGGGACGAAGCUUUUUUGUGACGGUACCUAGAUAAGAAGCACCGGCUAACUACGUG